CAAUAGCGUAUAUUUAAGUUGCUGCAGUUAAAAAGCUCGUAGUUGGAUUUCGGGUGGGAAUGGCCGGUCCGCCGUUUCGGUGUGCACUUGCUACGCCCACCUUGCUGCCGGGGACGUGCUCUUGAGUUCACGCUCGGGACACGGAGUCGGCGAGGUUACUUUGAGUAAAUUAGAGUGUUCAAAGUAGGCCUACGCUCUGAAUACAUUAGCAUGGAAUAACACGAUAGGACUCUGGCCUAUCUUGUUGGUCUGUAGGACCGGAGUAAUGAUUAAGAGGGACAGUCGGGGGCAUUCGUAUUUCAUUGUCAGAGGUGAAAUUCUUGGAUUUAUGAAAGACGAACUACUGCGAAAGCAUUUGCCAAGGAUGUUUUCAUUAA
rnacentral:rRNA from 1 species